rnacentral:misc_RNA from 1 species
GGUUUGGAAGAUUUAGUGAGGUGGCACAGCAGUUUAGUAUGCAAAAGAGCAACUCUACUCAUUCUGUAUUUUUUAGGCAUUCUGGAAGUGGUCUAAUCUUGCUUGUGGUAUAUGUUGAUGACAUUGUCAUUAGUGGAAGUGACUCUGCUAGCAUAUCAUCACUUAAGUCAUUUCUUCAAACUCAAUUUCAAACAAAAGAUAUGGGUUUGCUGAAAUAUUUUUUGCACUUUGAAGUUUCAAGAAGUACGAAAUGCAUCUUCUCGUCUCAAAGAAAGUAUGUCCUUAAUUUAUUGGCAGAGUCUAGAAAAUUAGAUGCUAAACCAUAUAAUGCACCAAUGACUCCUAACGUUCAGCUUACAGCAGGAGAUGGUGAGCUAUUUGAAAAUUCAAAGAGGUAUAGGAGAUUGAUUGGAAAGCUGAAUGAUCUAACAGUGAAUUGUCCAGAUAUUGCUUACUCUGUUAGUGUUGUUAGUCAGUUUAUGUUUUCCCCUACUGUUACUCAUUAGCAAGCUUUGGGACGGAUAUUGUGCUAUUUGAAAGGUGCUUCGGGUCGUGGUCUUUUGUAUAGCAAUAAUGGGCAUUUAAAUGUUGAGUGUUUUUUAGAUGCAGAUUGAGCAGGAUCAAAGAUUGACCGGAGAUUAACAACAGGGUAUUGUGUUUUUGUUGGAGCAAACUUGGCGUCGUGGAGGAGUAAGAAGCAAAGUGUGGUUUCUUGUUCAAGCGCUAAAUCAGAAUAUCGGGCUAUGGCAGAGUCAGAAUGUGAAGUUAUGUGGGUGCUUCAGUUACUGAAUGAGAUUGGUCUUAAGGUUCCAUUACCUCCAAAAUUAUAGUGUGAUAAUCAAACAGCUAUCCAUAUUGCUUCUAAUCUUGUAUAUCAUAAGCGAACUAAACAUAUCGAGAUUGACUAUCAUUUUAUUCGAGAGAAGAUUCAACAGAAUGUUGUCUCAACAGGGCAUGUCAAUACAGGAGAGCAAUUGGGAGAUAUUUUUACAAAAGCUCCAAAUGGAGCUCGAGUUGACUACAUUUGUAGUAAGUUGGGCAUAAUUAACAUUUAUGCUCCAACUUGAGGGGGAGUG